AUUGAACGCUGGCGGCAGGCCUAACACAUGCAAGUCGAACGAGUGGCGGACGGGUGAGUAAUGUCGGGGAAACUGACUGAUGGAGGGGGAUAAAUACUGGAAACGGUAGCUAAUACCGCAUACCAUCGGAUGUACCCAGAUGGGAUUAGCUAGUAGGUGGGGGAACGGCGCACCUAGGCGACGAACCCUAGCUGGUCUGAGAGGAUGACCAGCCACACUGGAAAUGAUACACGGUCCAGACUCCUACGUGAGGCAGCAGUGGGGAAUAUUGCACAUUGGGCGCAAGCCUGAUGCAGCCAUGCCGCGUGUAUGAAGAAGGCCUUCGGGUUGUAAAGUACUUUCAGCGUGGAGGCGUUACCCGCAGAAGAAGCACCGGCUAACUCCGUGCCAGCAGCCGCGGUAAUUC
rnacentral:rRNA from 1 species